ensembl:lncRNA
GGCUUUUGAGGGCAGGUAUUAAGUUGAUUGAUAUAAACUAUAUUUUCCAGACUAUGCAUCAUCUGAACAGAGCACUUCCCUGUAACAUUUUCUUCCUUGACUUAUAAGUACAAAUUCCAGAUAGUUUUCCACUUUUAUGUGAACAAAUUAAAGGCUUCUCUAGAUUCACAUCAACCUGCAGUUGUGUGUUCUUUAUUAAGCAGGCCAUCCCCAUUUCUUCAUGUCUUGGCACGUAUCAGCUGCAAGAGUGAUUCACCUUUUGAUGAAUUUCUGUCUCAGCAAAACAACCAAGGGAAGAGAAAGAAGCAAUUUCAUAUUUAUAUUGGAUUGUGCUUAUACAGGAUGGUUGAAUUCUGCCUUGACAUGGGUGUAAAGCUGUGCCUGUGAACACUGGAGACUCGGUUUCAUGUGAAGGAAAAACAAAAAAUCCAUUGACCUUCUAGAAACUUCACAGAAAACCAGCAGAGAGCAGCUACCUACUCCAGCCUGCUAUCAGCAAAAGACCAAGAGCAUAACUCACUGUCCAUAAAUCUAACGCCUUUCCUGAGUUCCAUUUGAUCAGCAACAAAAACAGCUUCUGCCAAAGCUUUCAGCCCCAUGAACGUCUCUAGUAUUGGUCAAAGCCCAUGCAUUCACAAACGUAACUCCCAUUUCUCUCAUAUUAACUUGGAAUAUUAGGCCAAAGGAAGCCUAGUAACUUUUUUAGGGUUCUCAAAGCUGUGAGAGGAUGGGUUUGCCACAUGGCUGUUGUUCUUUGCAUUAGGUAUGAUUAUAUACUGGGCACAUUCCAUAAGCGUCUAAGUACCUGAGAGUAAAAACACAUUCAUCUGAUAAUAAAUCCUUCCAGAAGAGGCUACUUUUGAGAUUUAGAAGCAAAUUCUUAUGACUGAAUCAUCGUCAUUCAAUUGUUCUCUUUUAAAAAUAAUUUCAUUAAGUAAACAAUUAAGUACGAUUAUAUGGAUUUAGAAAGCUUUUACUCCAACUCACUCUUGCAGUGACAAGUUAUAGCAUAAGCCUUAACACCACUUCUGACAAGACUGUGCCUAGACAAACAGCCCAACCUGGUCAUGGCCACGAGCCUUCAGUCAGAGGGAUCUUCACCCAGAAAGCUGAAUGUUGCUCAGCGUGAUUGGUCUUGGUCAGACAAGGAUGAAAACAAACCAGUGGCAUAUUUGCUCAUCUAGAUGCUUAGUGGCAGGCCCAAUGGGAGCAGAAUCAAUGUAUGAAUGCCUAGGAACACAGAGGUAUCACACGUAUUGCAGUCUACGAGCCUCCUCCCAGUUGUCAGUUUGACCGCUAUGCAUUUCACCUCUCCCAUUCUGAAGAAAUGGCUAAAACUUAAUGCAAAGGCUUCUGUGGCUGCAUAAGUGCUUAAAGUGUUUUCAUAAAUGCUUCCAGACUGAAGGCUUCUUCUAUCCAACUUCAGCUGAAAGUUCUCUUUUCCAAACAAAUGCUCCACCUAACUUAAUUUCUGUAGUUUGUUUCCAGAGAAAGAAUAAAGAGGAAUGGCACACGUGUGUAAGUCACUAAAGUAAUUUUGAGAGAAGUCCUCCAGUGGACAACCACUGCUUUCUCUCUCCUCUUUUUAUUUUAAUAUCAUUGUGUGUAAUCUUAAUAGCUGCGUUUACUACAAAUUCCAUGUGAGCUUUUUGGUCGUUCACUUUCUGAAAGCACAGCCCUGAAGUGCACACUGAGGUUGUUAGUUCUCACUGGCUUGGCUCGCUUGCCUAACAGCUCCUUGAAGUGAUUAACAUUUUCCAUCAUCAGAUCCUACAAGGAAAAAAAAAAAAAAAAAAAAAAAGGAAAGCCUUAAUGACACUAAAAAAUAUUAGGAGCCAGCUAUUUCAUAGUACUGACUUGCUAAGGCAUCAUUAUUGCUAGUGCUACUGUUGUCCUUAAAUGCUGCACUGCUGGUUAUCAUGGAGGACUUUGGGAAAAAGAGAGUAUGGUGCUGAGACUUAUUGCAUUAAGAGAUCGGUUUAACAGAUUGUUUAGUUUUGGUAAUAUAAUUUGACAUCUAAACAUAAGCUGAGAGGGAUCUCCCACAAAACCUUUGAUAAUAUGAUUCAUUGUCAAAUGUUUGUUUUGCCUAUCUGGUACUCAUUAAUUAAUUCUUUUUAAUAUAUCUUGGAUUUACUGAUUUGGAAAAAGAGAAUUAUUCUUAUUGAUGUUGCUAAAAUAUCCAGGUGGCUUGAAUUUCACCAACUAGAUGGUAUAAUCUAGCACAUUUGUGUAGACCUAAUCAAAUAUCUACUAACAGAUGUGAAGAGCCCAGCAUGGGAGCAAAUGUUUGUGUCUAUAUGAUAAUUAAAUUACCUCAAUAAAGAGAAUAAAUGAA